rnacentral:rRNA from 1 species
UACGAAGGGGGCUAGCGUUGCUCGGAAUCACUGGGCGUAAAGCGCACGUAGGCGGGCUGCCAAGUCAGGGGUGAAAUCGGUCGGCCCAACCGGACAAGGGCCCCUGAUACUGGUGGCCUCGAGGGAGGUAGGGGUCGAUGGAACUUCCGGUGGAGCGGUGAAAUGCGUAGAUAUCGGAAGGAACGCCGGUGGCGAACGCGAUCGACUGGACCUCUUCUGACGCUGAGGCACGAAAGCCAGGGGAGCAAACGGG